rnacentral:rRNA from 1 species
GAUGAACGCUGGCGGCGUGCCUAAUACAUGCAAGUCGAGCGAACAGACGAGGAGCUUGCUCCUUUGACGUUAGCGGCGGACGGGUGAGUAACACGUAGGUAACCUACCUAUAAGACUGGGAUAACUUCGGGAAACCGGAGCUAAUACCGGAUAAUAUUUCGAAUCGCAUGGUUCGAUAGUGAAAGAUGGCUUUGCUAUCACUUAUAGAUGGACCUGCGCCGUAUUAGCUAGUUGGUAAGGUAACGGCUUACCAAGGCAACGAUACGUAGCCGACCUGAGAGGGUGAUCGGCCACACUGGAACUGAGACACGGUCCAGACUCCUACGGGAGGCAGCAGUAGGGAAUCUUCCGCAAUGGGCGAAAGCCUGACGGAGCAACGCCGCGUGAGUGAUGAAGGUCUUCGGAUCGUAAAACUCUGUUAUUAGGGAAGAACAAACGUGUAAGUAACUAUGCACGUCUUGACGGUACCUAAUCAGAAAGCCACGGCUAACUACGUG